GCUAACCUUAUGUAUCAAUAUUCAAUGUAUCUAUAAAAAUAAUAAUGUUUUAUUGUAGGUUGAUGACUAAUGGUUUACAAUCAAAGUUUAACAUGGCUGGUAGCAAGGGUAAAAAGAAAUUUGAAGGCACAAACAUUUGUGAGGUUGUUGUUGAGAGCGUCAUUUUAAGUAAAGCAACUGCUACAGUCUCUGAAGUCAGAAAAAAUAUCAUGAAUAUAUUGAAAAAUGCACCCGAUAGAUCAAAUGGUGGUGGUCGGGGCAUAAAUGAUAACUCAGAUAUAUAGUUAUAUGUUAACAAAAAAUUUGAAAAAGUAUAGUAGGGCAAGCAAAAUGUACAUUCGAGCU
rnacentral:lncRNA from 1 species